rnacentral:rRNA from 1 species
AACAGCCGCGGUAAUUCCAGCUCCAAUAGCGUAUAUUAAAGUUGUUGCAGUUAAAAAGCUCGUAGUUGAAUUUCGGGGUCAGUAGGUUGGUCAUGCCACUGGUAUGUACUGGUCUCACUGAUUCCUCCUUCCUGAUGAACUGUAAUGCCAUUAAUCUGGUGUUGCAGGGAAUCUGGACCGUUACUUUGAAAAAAUUGAGUGUUUAAAGCAGGCUAACGCCUGAAUACAUUAGCGUGGAAUAAUGGAAUAGGGCGUUCGAUCCUAUUUUGUGGUUUCUAGGAUUGACGUAAUGAUUAAUAGGGAUAGUUGGGGGCAUUAGUAUUCAAUUGUCAGAGGUGAAAUUUCUUGGAUUUAUUGAAGACUUAACUACUGCGAAAGCAUUUUGCCAAGGAUGUUUUCAUUAAUCAAGAACGAAAGUUAGGGGAUCGAAGACGAUCAGNUACCGUCGUAGUCUUAACCAUAAACUAUCGCCGACUAGGGAUCGGGACGAUUGUUUAAAUUUUUUAUGACUUCAUUCGGC